UACGUAGGGGGCGAGCGUUAUCCGGAAUUACUGGGCGUAAAGCGCACGCAGGCGGUUCGCCAAGUUUGGAGUGACAGUUGUCGGCUCAACCGACAAAGGACUUCAAAAACUGGUGAACUUGAGGACGAGAGAGGAACAUGGAACUCCAGGUGUAGUAGUGAAAUGCGUAGAUAUCUGGAAGAACACCAAUGGCGAAGGCAAUGUUCUGGCUCGUUUCUGACGCUCAGGUGGCGAAAGCCAGGGGGAGCGAACGGG
rnacentral:rRNA from 1 species